rnacentral:lncRNA from 1 species
ACAAACAUGCAGCAACCAUAGUAAAGUUCUUGCAAAGACAUUCUACACGAACUUGCCCAAAGGCGGAAGGAACGCACACACAGAUGGACACAGAAAUCAUAGGGCUGCCACAGAGGCUGUGGAUGAGCAUUAACCUGUAAACGUACAGAAAGGAGCGAAGUGGAGCUGUCCAUGGGCCGUG